rnacentral:sRNA from 1 species
UUUGACUAGGACUGCCACUUUUUGAG